rnacentral:tRNA from 1 species
AAUGAUGAGCCUGAUUAAAGGACUAUCGUGAUAGGAUAAAACAUGUAGUAAACCCUACCUUCAUUA